AGUCAUUUGACGAGUCCCAAAUAGGACGAAACGCGCGUCCUGGAU
rnacentral:hammerhead_ribozyme from 1 species